GCUGCUUCCUCCACUAUAUCUCUUCCAAAUGCUUCUCAGUUCUUGUCUAUGAAACUCAAUCCCACAAACUAUCUCUUAUGGCAGGCUCAGUAAAUGCCUCUUCUUCAUAGUUAUGACCUGGCAAGUCAUGUUCUUGGCUCAACUACACCACCCUCUCAAACUCUCGAAAAUGGCUCCCCAAAUCCAAAUUAUGUCUUUUGGUUUCGUCAGGACCAACAAGUAUUAAGUCGGUUGUUUUGUUCCAUUUCGGAAUCCCUUCUCCCACAGAUUAUCGAAUUGUCUUCUGCAAAGGAGGCAUGGGAGAAACUGGCCAAAAUUUUCUCUUCAAGUUCACGCACUCAGGUGCAGCAAAUUCGAA
rnacentral:misc_RNA from 1 species